AACCUCAGGCCCCCGCCCAGCGAGCGCUCUCAUUGGUCCCGAGCGAUGGCGCCUCGCUAGCGCCCUGCGCGAUCAUUGGGCGUACGGCACGUCACUUCGUCGAGCGCCGCGGAGGGUAGCGGGGAGCAAUAGGCGGAGGAGGGAGGAUUGGAGAGAGGGGAUCCGCCUCCUCCCCGGCAGCGAGCGAGGAGCGCGAAGGGGAAGGCUGUUGCCCGCUGAGUGGCGGAGUCGAGCUAUCACUCAGAGGCUGGCCCGCCUUCGAGUUCUCAAAUGGCGGGCGUAGGUCCUGCUCCGUUUCUAUUGGCUAGCACGUUGGUGCGGAGCGCGCGGCUUUAAGGCUCGUCUGUCGUCGCGCGCUGUGCUUUGGUAGGCCCAUGUCUUGCGCCUUGAGCUGGGCUCAGCGGUGUGCCCAGCGCGGCAUCCGCGUCGUUCCCACCCCUGUGAUGCCGACCUGAAACGGAGACUGGAGAGUUGUGGUUUUUGGGAAGUUUUAUAUUGUCCUUAGCGGUCCUUAAUGGUUAUCCAGAGCAUAAAUGAGAUAUGGGUGAUAAAUUCUGGGAUGGGUAUAAAUUGCUGAACUGUGUUCUUACACUGAAGUACUGCGACGUUUAAAAUGAAGUGGUACUUAGAACAUAAUAGUCUAGAUUAAUGAAAAGAAACCCUGCAAUUCCUGUGUUACAAGUUACAAAGCUGAAAUGGAAGUUGAGAGACAUAGUGAGAUACGUAUGCCUUUAUUUACAUGAAACCGUAAUCAGAAUGGAAACUGUGCAAGUCUUUUACCCUGUGAGUCCCUGACACAUUGAUUGUAUAAGCCUCUCAGUUACUGUUUAUUUUCUUAUCUGGAGGCUUCGAGAAGUUUGUGGGCUUAACCCACUAGGAGAAGUUCUCUAAGCUUUACUUAAAUAAAAAAAAAAACUGUAGAACUGAGUUGAGUAUGGAAAGCAAUGCAUGGCCGUAGACAUGCUGGGGAUAAUAAUAAUAGAUGAGGUGACUACCUGUGAGACCCCAUUGGUGGUGUGGAAUGGCUUCAGAGUAAUUCACACCAACAUAAAAUGAAGCAUUCAGUAGCAUUAGAAUGAUUAGUUGUUCAAGUUCCCCAAAUCUUUUUUUUGCUGCUUAAUUAUCCUUUAACUGUUCCUGUUGGCAAAAGCAUUUCAAUAUGUGUUGAAGCUAAUGGAUAAUUCUAGCUUAAUAAAAUGUGCUUUUUUUUUUUUUGUAGACAUAUGUUGAAGUUUUAUCAGAGAACGUUUUUGACUUUAUAGCAACAAUUUAUUCUUUUCUGCACUGUAGGUCAUGGAUAUGCAUAUAAUGUUAUGAGUUCUUACUGCCAUUGUCUUAAAUCCUACCUUUAAAUAAAGCUUCAUGCAUCUUUAAAAAUCAACUAGCUUCUGUAAAAGUGUUUAAGAAGUUAGUAGGUGUAAGUGGAAGCUAAUUCUUUCAAUAGAGGGUCCUUUAAUAGGUUUAUACGUAUUCGUGCUGGGAGCUUAUUCUGUUACAUUAAAGGAACUAAGUUACUAUUUAAAGUAAUAUGUGAGAUUAUGAAAUUGCAAGGUGUCUGCAAUAGAUCAGAAUUGAAUUUAAGAAACAGAUAUUCUCAGUAGGUUGUCUCAUGGUGCACUUGUUUCUUGAACUAAGGCUGCUUUUGAUACCACAGUACAGAAGAGGAGGACAUUCACUGUGAUUAAUAUUUGAUAUUCAGCAGUGACACGUUGUGUUUGCAGUCUGAAGAAGCAUUUCCUCAUCAGUGUCAUUGCUGCAGAGAAGGCUUAGUUCUCAAAACUAAAUCAAUACAUCCAAGUUUAGUCUACCUAUGCCAUACUCAUCUUACCAUUAGUAUGAAGGAGCACUUUAGAAAAAAGAACUCAACAGAUGUGAACUGUGCUGAUGUUAAUAAGUCACAAAAAGAAAACUCAGGUUUUUUUCCUGAAGCUUUCCACCAUUAAAAGUAGUAUGCAUUCAUCCAUGAGGCUAUUGAUCUGUGUUCAAGAACUGUGUUUUUUCCUGUGACUUUAAUUCAUUCCUUCUCUGAAAUUUGACACUUCAACAUUGUUUAUGUAGUAAUUCCCAGUGGAGAAAAUCAGUUGCAUCUACUUAUACUCUACUCAUAACUUGUGAUUUUCCGUUGCCUUACAAGUUGUAAAAGUGUCUUGAAGUAGUCCCAGCAGAAAGCUUCCUUGCCAGUCCUCCCUCCCCUACCCCAGUCUGAAAUCUUUUUUUUUCUUUUUUUUUUUGGAGCUGAGUGGUUUGAAGUAUUUAAGGAUUUUGAAAAGUACACUAUCAGCACUCAGUUUUUUAACCAUGCAUAAAAAUUACUGCAUCCAGUAACAUUUGUCGUGAUGAUAGCAAAGUACAUUGUUUAUCUUGCCUUGUUUACUUUCCUCUGGUGGGUUGGCUUGUGUAGUAAUUAACAAAUCUGUAGUUCUUCCAGUGUGGCUUAUGACAGGAAAUGGCAUUGUUAUUGAUGGUAUUGAAUUGGAAAAGUUUCAUGUAAACAGGAUGAAUAGAUCUAGGAAGUCCUUAAUGGGUUAAAAACAGAGUUGUAAUUCUGUAACUCAGAAUUCUAGCUAGCCCUGGUGUUCAAAACAAACUGAUGUAGGACACCAAAACGUUAGAUAUGUUGUUAACUCCUUUGGCUUGAGUUCACUUUUCUGUGUUUUCUUUUUGUUUGGAUUUUUGUGCAGGAGAAGAGUUCAAAACCUUAAAUUUUUUGUUAAAUUGAAUUUUCACUAUUUCAAUUUAAAUUAGUUAUUUUUGAUGGAAGGUUAGAUGGAGCUUUUCACACUUCCACCAACUAUCUAUAGAGCCCCCGAAAAAAAUCAAAACAGUAAAAGUACGCUUUAAAAAUAUAUAUAUGCUUAUAAAAAAUCAUAACAGUAAAAAACACAGUGGGCCCCAGUUUGAUGUGCUUGAUUACGGGGCUAGUUUCUGCCUCUCCUCUUGUAGGAAGUUAUCACUAACUUUGCUUAUCUCAAAUAACACUUCAGAUGUUUUGGUAGAACUGGCCCUUAUAUCUUUAUGCAAGCUGUGGCUUAACAUGCUGUAGACAGAAUACUUCUUAUCUCUCUUCUGUUCUGCACAAAGUUUGCUGAAGGCUGGUUCAUAAAUGGAGUGCAAUCUUAAAAAGCAGCCAUUUUAGCAGGGCAAGUAUACCUGGAUCUCAAUUUCUUUCUAACAAACAGUUAAUGCAAGGUUACACCUUCUGUUUUUGUUGCCACUGAUGUCUCCUUUAUUACAUGUUCAAUCUAGAAUUUAGGCCUUACUGAAGGCAGUAGGAAAAUUUACCUUUGGUUUCAAGUCAGCAGUGUGCUCUGGUAGUGACAAAAGCUAGCUAUGUGCUGGGCUUCAUCAAGAACAGUACAAGAACGGUACAUGAAUUGAUUAUUCCCUUCUGUUUGCUACUCAUUAGGCUGCAUCUAGAACACAGUGUCUGGUUUUUUGGUUCUUCAGUACAAGAAAGAUGUUGAAAAUUCCAUGCAAGUCCAGGGUGAAGGGAGGCUGAGAGGAGCAGGGCUUUUUCUGUUUGGAAAAGAGAAUGGAGGUGCCACCUACUAGCAGCUCUCCAGUACCCACGAUGAUUUUUACAAAAAAGAGGCAAGUUCUUUAUUUAGAUGUAAAGUAGGAGAACAAGAGGUGAGAGGUGUAAUUUUUGUUGGGAGGUUCCUGCUGGAAGAGAAGGCCUACUUUGCAUUAUAAAAAUAAGCAUAACAAAACAGUCAUGUGAUUUGAGAAAACUUUGUUCUAUGUUAGUGUUUAUAACUUUCUUUAAUAUUUUUGUAUGGAAAAAAAUGCUUCUUAAUUAUAGUCUGACAGUAGUUUAGCUCCUUGUGCAGUCAGCUGAUUGCCUUCACUUUUUGGAAGGAGUAAUGUAAUUCACUCAUAAGAAAAGCAGCAAUAUAUUUAUUAAUAUGAGCGAUUUAUCAAAUUUUUGAAACUAAGCUACAGUUGAUUAUGUGACAAUAGACUUGAUUAUAAAAUAUAUGAAAGACUUUAUGUACUACACAAAAACGGAGUCAGUGAAGUUACUAGGGAGGCCUUGUGGUUGAGUGAUGGGGUUCAGAAUGGAGUCCCCAUACUACUUAGGUGGUAAGAUGAUUGACUCGUAGGCAUAUUACAUAACUUCAGUUCUGAGCUAGAUGUUAAUUCCUCCAGAAUCUGGCUUGACCAGACAGUGAAUAGCACUGGAUUUAGGCUGCAGUUAGAUUAGUACUUGAUCAGUUAGCCCUUUAGAUGUUGAGCAAGAUGCCAUUUUCUCCAGCAUCUAGCCUUGACUGGAAAGCAACCACUGUUAUGGUUCCCACCCACUCAAGCAAGUCUGAUGGUAAAAUGGUUGGGCUGCAGAGAGGAGGAUAAGGGGGAAAAGCAAGUUGACAUCACUAAUUUUUAUUUUAAUGCAUCGUGUCUGGAAUGUUUCAUGGCCUUUGAAAGUAGUUUAUGCUGUGAUGAUUAGCUGUCUUAUACCCUGCUAGCAUAUGUUAUAUGAUGUAAAUGCUCCUCCAGAAUUAUUGCAUUGAUCUUUCAUGAAGAAUCAAAUUGUUAUUUUACAACCUUACAAUUGAGUGCUGAGUUGAUUAUUCAUGGGUUUGUGAAUGUAUGCCAGUUAUCACUGCAAAUCUCUGAGUAGGGGAAGAAAUGCACAACACAGUAAGAAUGGGGUUGCAAAUCAAGAAGAGUAGUUUGUUUUCCUUUGCCAAAGGAAAACUGAAGUGUAUUUUUAGCAGGGAAGUUGGACACAAUGAUCUCUUCCCAGAGGUCCUUUCCAACCCCUGCAUUUCUGUGAUUUUGUGAUCUUUAGGGCCUUCACAGAGCUGCUUUCCUACCUUUUAUGAGGAUAUCUUAACCUUCCACGAAAGCCAGCAGCCCACGCAGCGGGAUGGGAGGGAAUGGGAAGUGUACAGGCAGAAGUAAAUUGGUUGUUUAGUCUAUUUGUUUUUCACAAAGGUCCCAUAGUCUGUGGCAGCUUGUGUAUUUUGAAUGUUUUAUUAAUCCCUAUAUGUGUUGUUCAUGAGUAAAGGGAUGAUCUGUAGUCACAAAACAACGAUGACGCUUUGAUUGACAAGUAGUGGUCAUUAGCUUAUACCUUGAAGCUGGAGUGCUGUGUAGCACUCCUUGCUUUUAUCUCUUUAUGCAAGUCUUUUUUUUUUUAACUGUUGACAGUUUAUUUGGGUUUUUGAGCUUUCUUCACAUAAACAUUCUCAUCAGUUCAGUAAGUUAGCAGUUCAGCAGCGUUUUCGUCUUCUGAGGUCAUCAGAAGCGCAUCUUUUCUUAUGUAAUGCACUCACAUUAGGUGAUCUGUGCCUAAGAAAGAUGAUUUCUAAAAGGAAUGAAAGUUAUGUGAGUAGGAGAAAAACAUCAAGUUAGUGUCAUAAUUCCUUUUCUUGGUGAAAUAUGAUUAGUAUAAACAGAAGGGAGAAAAAGGCAGUAAGUCAAAGUGAAAGCAGGUGCUGACUGAGGAUGAAGCGUUCAGAGGAAAUUGUCAGUUACAGAUUUUCAAGAAUGUCUGGGCAGUGCACAACAAACAAUCCAUUAACAUAAUACCAGUGUCACAGUAAACAGCUUCAGCCUCUGCCUCACUCUUCAGUAGAGGUCCUUUCUCUUUCAUGGCCGGGAGAUUAGUGCAGAGUUCUUGCAUUACUAUGCAGUGUCCCUUGUGAAGACUUCCAGCAGAAAGCAGGGAAGGAUGUUGUAGUUUCCACUUUCUCAUGCAGCUAUCAACUUAGUUCUAUAGUUUUCUGAUGUAACAGAAGCAGAAAAUGUGAUUUAGUGAUUACUGAAUGUAGAGAACUUGUGCUGUCCUUACAUGCUUCCUUUGUCAGAAAUGGCAGAACUAAUCCUGCCUAGCACAUCCCUCUUCUCACUGAGCAUCUGCUAUUGUUUUUAAUUGUUUUGGUCUUCUUUUCAAAUAGAUUCCAUGUACCUAUUUCAGUUACUUUUGGCAUUUCACUGUCUAAAUUAGGUCAAACUGAAGAAUGAGAGAAGGGCCCCACCGCAAAAGAUGAGAAAAAGGCUUCACAGGAACUGGGGAUAGUUAAAGGUAGUUUACAGAAGUGAAUAUGUAGAGGUUGCUAGAAGAAUGGGAAUUGCAGACACUGGGACUGAGACAAUGUGGGGGUUAGAGAACAUAAAGAUAAGAGUUUGAGAACAGCCUGAGGACCUCUGGCUGGGAGGUGAUAAGAUGUCCUCAGGGCAGGCUAGAACUGGAUGGGGGCUGCCCCUCCCUCAGGGUCAGAAGUUUACAACAAGGAAGACUACAAGCCUUACCUAGAAAGGCUGCUGCUUCAUCCCAUGACCACCAGGAGGAGGCCCCCACAACUCACUGCACAUGUGCGAGGGGGAGGGCCUGCAUGCUAAUGGAUUCCCAGAAAUGUAAUGAAUAUGUAUCCAAUUUCCUGGAAACAAUUGAUUAUGUAUUUAGUUUGGCCUAUAUCUAUAGCUCACUUUUUCCUCACAGCAUGCAGGUUAGGCAGAUCUAUUCCCCUUGCACCCAGCAUAUGUGCACUGUUGAAAUAAACAUACCUGCUCUCAUUCCUUAAUCUGGCUAUAGAGUUUGAUUUCUGCACAUCAGUUUGGCGACUCGGAUGAGACAACCUCUGUUUGGCUGUGGGACCAGCUGAGAGGGGAGACAUCAUUGGUGUGCCCUGAGAUUUCACAGGACUCUCCUUCCUCAUCCAAUCACUGCAGGAACAGACAAGGACCAUUUGUUGGCGGGCCAGUAUGUGCAAUGAGUUCUCUCAGAUAUUUCAACUGUGUCAGUUCGUGAUGGAAAACUCCCAAAAUGCUCCUUUAGUUCAUGCGACUUUGGAAACUUUGCUACGGUUUCUGAACUGGAUUCCCCUGGGAUAUAUAUUUGAGACUAAGUUAAUCAGCACACUAAUAUACAAGGCUGGAGAACUGCAGAGGCACCUUUUAGAGUGCCUAACUCCUGCAGAGGCUUAGAGGCGGGCUUUUUCCUCUAACAAGAGGAAAUUUUUUCUCAUGGCAGCUUGCCAUUUCUCAUCCCUGUUUGUCUCCGCUCCAACUGGAUACACUAGUGGGGAAGUUUAGGGCUAUUCGGGCCCAUACUGUGUAUUUAAUGCAGAUUGCACAUAAAUCUGGCUGACCGUCUGUAUCCCUACCUCCCAGAUAGCACACAGCCUGUCUCCUUGAUGUCAGUCAGCUGUUGCAGAAAGUCUUCCACCUGGGCACAUCUUACACAGGCAAGUUUGCCACUCACUUCUGCUGCAGGUGAAAGGUGCAGGCACUUCCCACAUACCAUGGCCUGCACAGAUGCUUCUUCCUUUAGAAGCUAAGUCUGAGUGGAGGUACUGAUGAUGACUGGGGUAGGUGGUGCACACUCCCCUGCCAGAGCUGCAGCCUUAGCUUGGCAUUGUAAAUGCACCAUUCUGCUUUGAAGGUCACUUGGAAUGAGUGCCCCCUCACUUCUGAAGCUGGUAAAACUGUGGUGCCCUGCCAUGCAAGGUGCUGCUCCACACACACACGGGUGACAGCCAUGCUCUGUUUGCCAACCCUGUACUUUGUGGGCAGCAACUUGUCACUGCUUUUCCCAAGGAAAAGAACAUGGCCUCUGUUGCCUUGCCAACACCCACUUCUGUUAUGAGAGCUGCACACUGCUGGAGGGUCCUUCUACUGUCUUGGUGUUUCCCUGACAAAGGAAACCUGCAGGCCUCCUCCUACCUUGAGAUCAGUUGCUCUGGUUCUGGCUGGGCCAGCUUUGAAGCAGCUGCUCUUGAUGACUGGUGGUUCUGGGCUUCAGCCAUAUAAUUUUCCUGCCUUUGCCCUGGCAACACCAGUGCCAUGUCAGCCUCUCUUGUGAGAACUGCCCAUUGCUGGAGGGUCCCUCCAUUGCCUUGGCAUCGCUGUUGUUUCAUGUACGCAUUAAGCUGUCACUGAAACCUAAUGUGACAAAAUGAUUUGUUUUAACCUGGAUAGUGAUUGCUGUGGCUGUAAUAAUACUUUCUGAUAGGAAUGGCUAUGUAGCUAGAAUAGGUGGGAAAGGGGAAUGCCAGUAUCUUUUAGCAGCAGUAUUUGUAUUCGUAAUUCUUAUUAUAAUUGAAGGCACUACCAGAACCUGGAACCUCAAGGCACAAUGCGUCCCCACACAGCCCAAGUCAAGUGCUAUUCCUAAAAAGCUUACCAAGUAGGUGAAAAAAUAAUGUUUGAAACAAGUCUCACAAAAUUUAUACAGAGUGAGAGUCUGAGGACUUUGAGGAGUAUGCGGACUUUGCUCUUGUUUGCAGAAGAAAUACUUUUCACCUGAAACUGAAGUCAAACAGUCACUACAAACCACUGUCACAGCAUGAUGUAAAAUGCUUUCUGAGGCAGACAAAUUAGCAUAUAUUAGAGGAGACUGUAAGGUUCUAAAGAAUCAGGUUUUAUGGAUUUAUUCUGUUUUGGUUUUUUUGUGUGUGUGGGAAGCAGGGACAGGAAGAGAGGCAGGUUUGAGGUGCAGAUGGGGACACAGCUGGAGAUUGUAGCCAGUAUUUGUUAACUGAGUUACUAAAUUUUGUUUGUCUCUGUUGGCAAGAGUUAUUAAAGUACUUGAUUAUGGCAUUUGUUUCCCUUCUUUGUCAAGAGAAAAAACCCCUAGUUAAAUCACUCUUCGAAGAGUAGUCACUGAACCAGGGAAGCUAACUUCAACAGCAGUUAAUGUUGUGUGUUUUGUCCCUUCAAGGUAAAUUUAGGGACCUUGAUAAGUCCUGGGAACUUGCUGCUGAUCAAUUUGCAAAGCCAAUUUGCAAUAUUUCUGUCACAAUCCUGGGACAAGGAACCUCUAAAGUAUUUUCAAAGACCCGUACCUGUAGUCAAAUGGAAUAACUAUUGCUUUAAGUAGUGAUUCAGUUCUGUCAGCAGUUUACAGCCUAGUUCUGCCUGGCUCCAUGACUAGCAGGGCAAGGGGACCCACAGAGCUAUGGCUGGGGAAAAGAUAGGGAGAUGGGCCUGAAAACAAAACCAGCAGAAUGAUCUGAGGAAAAACAAAACUGAUUUAGUAAGAUAUUGGAAUGCAAGAUAAUACGCUAUAGUACAAUAUAAUUAGAAUUGAAGCUAACAAAUAAAAUGAGAGUGUCCAAAAACCAAAGACCUUACUCUAAUGCUGAGUCAAGACAUCUGGCCAGGCCAAGCAGGAGGGGAAAGGGGGAUGUCUCGUGAUAUGAGAAUAGUUUUGUCUUUCUCUCUGAACAGAAAAAAAAAAACAACCAGAUACCCGGAAUUAUCCACAGUCCACAGAAUUGGAGUAUUAACUCUUUAACUCCCAGAGUACAACAUCAUGCUAUGAUGUGGAAUACCAAUAACAAAAACCAUAAAACUAUGACAAGUUCGUAUUUCCUUUGUUAAUAUAGAUAAUUUUACAUGGAGAGUGAUAUUUAUGUUCCACUAAUAGAAAACUUUCCACCAAAUGUUAAUGUAGAGCAUUUUUGUAGUUU